UACGCAGGAUGCAAGCGUUAUCCGGAAUGAUUGGGCGUAAAGCUUCCGCAGGUGGCUGUGUAAGUCUGCUGUUAAAGAGUGAGGCUCAACCUCAUAAAAGCAGUGGAAACUACACGGCUAGAGUGCGUUCGGGGCAGAGGGAAUUCCUGGUGUAGCGGUGAAAUGCGUAGAUAUCAGGAAGAACACCGGUGGCGAAAGCGCUCUGCUAGGCCGCAACUGACACUGAGGGACGAAAGCUAGGGGAGCGAAUGGG
rnacentral:rRNA from 1 species